rnacentral:tRNA from 1 species
GGGGAAAUAGCUCAGUUGGUAGAGCAUCAGACUUAAAUACAUAUAUAUCUUUAUUUAUUUAUUUUCCCCU